AGAGACAGCAGUCGCCGCGGUAAAACGUAGGUGGCAAGCGUUGUCCGGAAUUAUUGGGCGUAAAGCGCGCGCAGGCGGAUCAGUCAGUCUGUCUUAAAAGUUCGGGGCUUAACCCCGUGAUGGGAUGGAAACUGCCAAUCUAGAGUAUCGGAGAGGAAAGUGGAAUUCCUAGUGUAGCGGUGAAAUGCGUAGAUAUUAGGAAGAACACCAGUGGCGAAGGCGACUUUCUGGACGAAAACUGACGCUGAGGCGCGAAAGCCAGGGGAGCGAACGGGAUUAGAUACCCGGGUAGUCCCUGUCUCUUAUACA
rnacentral:rRNA from 1 species